UCACACAUCGACCCAUCGCACACGCCAAAUUCUUUUUUUCUUUUUCUUUUUUUUAAAAAAAAUCAUAAUUUUACAAAUUGGUCCUUCUAGCUCCCUAAUUUCCUCGUCGCCACUAUUUUUUUUACUUUUCUUUUUUGUUAUUUUCGAAAAUGUUUAAUACAACGAGCACGUUGAUGAGAUUCGGGAGUAAUUUCCCACCUAAUCACUCGCUCUUCUCCUCAUCACAAGGUAGAAAGUAUAGCAGCCCCUUUACCACAAGAAAACGUCUUCUCGUUUAUCCAUGCAGUUGGAAUCAGGUACAACUCAAAGCAUUUGCAUCACGAAAAUCUGAGAGGAAAAGGAGCGGUGAUCGAAAAACAACCAAAGAAGGAACGCUGACAAGUAAAAUACUUUCCCCAGAUGGCUAUAAGGAGUCGACUGACAAAGAUUCUAAUGAUGGUAAUAGUGGUCGUUCCGCCAGUGUCGAACUGCUCAAUGAGAAUGCAGAUGCCGCUGUUCAAGUUGCAGGCUCAAGUAGAGCUGCGGUGCUUCAGGCUUGUAUUAUCACAUCCGUCUUAUUGGUUGCUUCAGGGGUAGCAAUUCGGCAGGCUUCCCAUCUUGCAUAUGCAAAAGGGUGGGCAAAUUUUGACUCUACAGAAAUAGCAUUUGGUUUUGAAAUGUGGCAUAUCGAACUGAUCGUGGGACUAGUUAUACUGAUCUCAACUAGUCGAUUUAUUCUCCUGAAGAUAUGGCCAGAUUUUUCAGAGUCUAGCGAUGCAGCUAACCAACAAAUUCUUAGUUCAUUGCAACCGUUGGAUUAUGUCGUGGUUGCAUUUCUCCCCGGGAUUAGUGAGGAAUUGCUCUUUCGCGGGGGUCUAAUGCCGCUUUUCGGACUUAAUUGGAUAAGCGCCCUCGGGAUCGGUGCUCUCUUCGGAGUUCUUCACUUGGGUGGCGGCCGGAAACUUUCGUACGCCGUUUGGUUCGAUUCAACCCGGACCUAUCUCGGGUCGGUCAAGCCAUAUGCUACCACUACGGUUGCGGCGUCAACGACGUUCGUACACCCGAAAAGCCCGAUCCACAUCACUAUUACAACCACGCACAGAUUACAAAAGAAGUAGAAAGCGCGAGAAUAGAUUCGCGUCUCUUAGAGCUGAUAUUUGUCGAAAACUUCGAGGGCAACAUUUGUCGGGUUCGCCUACGGCGUGGCGACUGUAACUUCCGCGAGCCUCGUUGUUCCGAUGGCGUCGCAUUCGCUGAACAAUCUCGUCGGAGGCCUCUUAUGGCGCUUCGCCGCUUCGAAUCCGCAAGAGAA